CGACAAAAAUGGAUUGAUGCAAUCAGAAAAAAUUUUUGGAAUAAGAAUCAACUUUUCUCCCUCCGGGAGCCUUCAGCUUCAAGCCAACCUCACCGGUGAUGGAACUACGGCGAAAUAACAACGUGAGACCAUGACAUCCAGACUACAGCAUCCAACAACCGCAGCUGCACUGACCUGGAACACAACAUCUGCCCAGGUCAAGAGAAGUCCA
rnacentral:lncRNA from 1 species